GCGGACGGGUGAGUAACACGUGGGUAACCUGCCUGUAAUACUGGGAUAACUCCGGGAAACCGGGGCUAAUACCGGAUGGUUGUUUGAACCGCAUGGUUCAAACAUAAAAGGUGGCUUCGGCUACCACUUACAGAUGGACCCGCGGCGCAUUAACUAGUUGGUGAGGUAACGGCUCACCAAGGCAACGAUGCAUACCCAACCUGAGAGGGUGAUCGGCCACACUGGGACUGACACACGGCCCACACUCCUACGGGAGGCAGCAGUAGGGAAUCUUCCGCAAUGGACGAAAGUCUGACGGACCAACCCCCCGUGAGUGAUGAAGGUUUUCGGAUCGAAAAGCUCUGUUGUUAGGGAAGAACAAGUACCGUUCAAAUAGGGCGGUACCUUGACGGUACCUAACCAAAAAGCCACGGCUAACUACUUGCCACCAGCCGCGGUAAUACUUAGGUGGCAAGCGUUGUCCGGAAUUAUUGGGCGUAAAGGGCUCGCAGGCGGUUUCUUAAUUCUGAUGUGAAAGCCCCCGGCUCAACCGGGGAGGGUCAUUGGAAACUGGGGAACUUGAGUGCAAAAAAGAAGAGUGGAAUUCCACGUGUAUCGGUGAAAUGCGUAUAGAUGUGGAGGAACACCAGUGGCGAAGGCGACUCUCUGGUCUGUAACUGACGCUGAGGAGCGAAAGCGUGGGGAGCGAACAGGAUUAGAUACCCUGUGAGUCCACGCCGUAAACAAUGAGUGCUAAAGUGUUAGGGGGUUUCCGCCCCUUAUUGCUGCAGCUAACGCAUUAAACACUCCGCCUGGG
rnacentral:rRNA from 1 species